AAGCCAUGAGGAAAGCCAUUGCUUCACACCUCAUCGACUACGUCAUAAGUCAUGCGCUCAAAGGCCUAUAUAUUCAUGAUAUCCACAGCCAACCAUUUCUCUAUCUAUCUAUUUCCUUAUGCAAUUAACUACUACUCAAUUUGUUGUCAUAUAUCUAAAAAAACAAAAGUUAAGAAAAUGGCAAAAUUAUAUGAGAAUGAACACCCAGUAAAGGCCUUUGGAUGGGCAGCUAGAGAUGCUUCUGGUGUUCUUUCUCCUUUCAACUUUACAAGAAGAGCCACUGGUGAGAAGGAUGUGCAGUUCAAAGUUAUGUAUUGUGGAAUUUGUCAUUCUGAUCUUCAGCAGCUCAAGAAUGAAUGGAGCACUAGCAUAUAUCCAAUGGUACCUGGGUUAGUUUCCAUUUUCUUACUUUUUAAUUAUUUAUUUGCAUUUGAAUUUAAGUUGUAUACACUGACGUGUAAAAGGUGUGUAAUCUAACUUGUGAUAACAUGGUAAUUAACAUUUUUAUCAGAUUAUUAAUAUAAUCGAUUUCUUUCACUAGGAUUAUAUAUAUUUCUACUUCUUAGAGUUAUUAUUCUUUUAGAAUUUCCUAAUUUUUUAAAAGAUCUUUGUUAAACUCUCACCAACUUCUUCUUCUUCGAUUCUAUUCUCUUCUAGCUCAAUUAUAUUAGUGAUUUGUUUAUCUACCAUAAAUUCUUCCUAUUUUUGGGGAUUGUAUUAAAGUUUCAAUUCUUCUCUUUUUUUUUUUGUUAUUUUUAAUAUGCGGAUUCAUAUUUUUUUUUUGUUGGCAUAUUAAAAUUCUGAUAAAUUUAAAAAGAUAAUACAUAUACUUACAAACAAAACAUAUAAAAAAAACAUUAGAUGCAAAGUUAAGAAAAGUAUAGAACAAUUGAACCUAGUUUAACAAAUAGUCAUAUAUAACUUGAUAUUACUUUUGUUGUUUCAAUAUUUUAGUGCAAUGCUGGGAAAGCUUAACAAAAAAGGAGUUCGCAAUUGCUUUCUGCUAUCAUAUUUGACAGAAUAUUUUAUGAGACAGUGGACUUAUAAAUCUAAAAGACUAAAUAAAAUAUAAAAGAUUAAGUAAAAAUAAGUUUAAAGAGAAACUAAUAAAAGUAACGUGGGUCCUGUGAUAUUAAUCAUAAUAUAUAAAGGAGGCAAGAAAUAUUUCACACGUAAGUUAUUUAUUCCUAUUCCCAAAUUAUCUCUAUCGGUCCCAUAGUUUCCUUAUUUAUGAAAUACUAUAGGACUCGAUGAUCUCGAGGACGGGCAUUCUGACCUCGUGUUCUAAUUUUAUAGGACUCCGGGUCGAUCUUUGAUCCCUUACGUUCCGAGCCCGGUAAGUCAUGUAGUAGACGAGCCCAGUUUCGACCGUAUACAGAUAGUCCUCUUGUUUUUCAGAGAGUAAACGAGAAACAAUACGAGCUUCCAAUUCUCACCUCGAUACUCCGUGUCAGAAACGACAAAAUGAAUGAAACAUCUCGUCAGUCACGUUUCAAUGGCAUUAAAUGCUUGUACGUUGUUGGUUGGCCAUUCCUAGAUUUGAAUCGUCAUUUGAAAGUUAUAAAUACCCCCUUCCUUAUCCAUUCAAACUUUACUUCCAAAACUUCUACUCUUACUUUUUAGAAAUUUCUCUAUUUUUCAACACUCACACUUCUGAUUUCUUGAGAUCCUUGUGUCAAGAAUUUCGUUUGUUUCCACCCUAAAUCACUAAGUGUAUUGCUCUAAUUCCUCUUCUUCUUUUUCCUUCCAUCUCCAAAAAGAAAUGGCGAAGACUUCAAAAUGGUUCCCCAAAAAGAAACUACUUCUACAUCAUGGUCGGUCGGCGAGGAAUCGGGGGUGGAACCGCCUCUUAGCACAUUCAUUCCUAGCAGGUGCUUGGUGACCGCUGAUUUUAAGGUUGAAAAACCUUCACCCCCGGUCCGGGGUGAGAAGGUCUCGAGGUACAUUUGCUCGAUCGCUGAAGAAAUUCUCCCCUCGGUUAAAAAGGAAUGCAACUAGGUCGGUAAAGACGUAAUAGUGCCCCCAUGAAGAUAUCACUACCCAAGUCGAGGGAUAUUUAAGUGUUUACACUUAUUCCUUUACUAUGGGCCCGUUGGACCCGGUAAUCAUCCAUUUCUGCAAAAGGUACAAGGUGUGCCUCAGCCAGAUUCACCCUUCGUUCUAGAGAAUCAUCAUCCUUCUCCGGUUCUUCGUGAGCAAGAUCGACAGAAGCUCGUUUACUAACGACCAUCUUAUGCUCAUAUACAAUCCCCUACUCUUUCGGUGGGGACUAAUUAAACUUGCACGUCGGGCUAGUAAAGCCCCGUUCUAGAGCAUCGAUGAAUAUGUGGAUCGAUGUUGGCUAGGCCGAUUUGUCUGAGUGAGGACCUCGGACCUGAUCCCAGCCAAACACAUGUCGUUUCCCGAGAAGUGGAACACAAAACGUAAGUAAAGUUUCGUUUUUCCAAGAAUUUUACUUUUUACUCUCUUCUUCUUCAUUCUUAUCGGUGUUUGGUGGCGAUGUAGCUAUUGCUCUGGACCCGAAUACAGUCCCCCGACUCAAGGAGUGGGUCAAGGGCAUUGUUGCACAAAAUCCAUAUUUCGAGCGCGCACGAUGCGAGCUCUCGAAGGGCCGCUGGUGGGAGGCCCGUUCUCAUGGUGAGAUCCCUCUCCUAAGUGAAUAACACUUAGUUUUCUUUUGUGUUAUUGAGUUCUUAUUCAUUUCGUUUCCCUUUGCAUAUCCUUCCAAGGAUGUCACAAUGAGGCCUCCAUCCGGCGGCGAGGAAUGCCCUGCCGAGUCCCUUGCUCCGAGACGAGGUGAGGAGAAGAAGAGAAAAAGGGCUCUGAGUUCUCCGAACUUGAAAAAAAGAAAACAAGGAGAAGUCUGGUGCGCAAAUCUAAGAAUAGCACCAGCGCUCGAGCUCCAUCCUCGGACUCACUCGAUCGGUAGAGGGACGAGUCAGAAGAAGAAAAUGCCUCUAAAUUGGUGGCCCGUAUACGGUCAGGGUUCGAGGUUCGAGGGGCCUCUGAACAAAUGAGAGGUGAAACUGAAUUGCCGCGACUUAGAGCGGCCGAAGAGGAGGCCGUGGCCGAGGCUUCCGAACUAGGAGGAGGCAAGGUUGUUUUGCCCCAAGUUAGGGAGGCUGAUAAGGAGGUUGUGGUCGGUGCUUCCUGGGUAGUGGAUAGUAUCCUAAUGGACACACUCGGUGUGAUAGACCUCUCCGAGUCGCCUUCGUUCACUGAGUCCAUGUUCAUCGAGGCCCAGAUGUGGAAAAGACGCCCCAACGAGGGGUCAAAAAGGGUGGUAGACCCCUUUAACUACUUUUUUUAUGGCGUAGACUCUAACGCCUCAGAAGACGUCACCGGGUUGGGUGAUUUAACGGUGCCAAGGAAACGUCCAUCAUCGGGAAUGAGUGGACCUUCCUCGAGUCUGAAAUUAGUCAAUCAGUUUCCAGUUCCGAGUGCGAAACAUGACCGGAAGCGAUCGGUCAUUAUGUCUAUUCCGGAGGACACCCGGGUUCUCUCAGCGGCGUAAGAGUGGCCAGUUACCUUCGGUGCUUGGUCACCGAGGAAGACCAAGCCAUGAUGAAUAAGGUGGAAGUGCCAUGCCUGUUCAACGAAGCUCAACAUGCAUUAUACCGGGACCUUGGUGCUUCAUCACGCGACUUUUUUCCAAUACCGGGAAGAGUUAAACCAUUAUGAGGCCGAGAUCUGAAGGCUCACUGAGAAGAGAGAUGCUUACAAACUUCUCAGUGAGCAACGCGAGGGGGAGUCUAGGAGCCUCGAAGCUAAGCUAGAAGCGGCUUGGAAGGAACAUGCCGACCUGGUGGAAAAGGUAAAAGUCUUUGAGGUUAGUGAUGAUGAGCUAAAAUCGAUGACUAACGCUCCGAAUCUGUAGGACCAACAGAAUCUUAAUCGGAUUGACCAACUUCGGGGCAGAGGUGGAUGUGGUAAAGUCCGAGGCCAAAGAAUAGAAAAGCAAAAUAGAUCGUUUGUCCUCAGAAAAAGAGAGUGCCCGAACACAAUUUGCUUCGGUUGAGGUCCAGCUCUGAGCCAUGAAGGAAAAGGCCUUGGUGCAGGCCAAAAAUAUUGAAGAGCAUAAGUCUCAGCUGAGUACUGCUGUCUUUGAUCAAGAUAAUCUUGCCAAGGAGCAUGGAACGGCCAAGUCAGAGGCCGAGGCGGUUAAAGUAGAGGCUGGCGAGAUAGUGGCCAUUUUUAAAGCCGAUGUCAAGGUGGCUCAGGUUCGGACAAAGGAUAUCAUCAAGUACGUGAAGCGGCAAUCUCGAAGGAAGGCCCUCGAGGAAAUUCAUACUCGGGGUUUUGACUUAUCGGUUGAGAUCGAGAGUGCCAAGGAGCUCUAAGCCGAGGCCAAAAAAUUGGCCUAUCUCGAAGACGAUGAAGAUUAGGAAGAUGAUUCCGGGAAUGGGGGAGACCCCAAAGGCGAUGAUGCGACCCCCGACGAAGACUAGGCCACUUAGGCUCUUUUGUUUCUUGCUUUAUGUAUUACCUUUUUGUUGAGGCCAUUUGGCCUCUGUAAAAAUUUGUGUCGAGGCCGUUUCGGUCCUAGUAAACAUCUUUCGAUAUGUAUAUAUAAGAUUUUUUCCUUCCUCAA